GUUCUGAACCCUCCAUUGUGAAGUACCUUUCUGUGGCUCCUAAACCCUUUUCCAAGUUUAACCUGAAAAUUACACUUAAACCAGUCCUCUUCAACUUCAACGAUUGUUUUUCUUGUCCUAACUUCCAAUCCAACUACCCUUCUCUCUUCAAGUUCCUAGCAGAAAAAUGCAUGUCCAGUCCUUGCUUCAUUCUUCUCACACUCCUUUCCAAACCCUAGAACCCAGAUUUUUUUCUCAGUCUUUAUUUCUC
rnacentral:misc_RNA from 1 species